ensembl:lncRNA
GCCUUUGCAAAUGGUUUAUACACACACUCGCAAAGGAGGAGCAGCUGAUGCAAGACCUGCCACAGAAAGACGGUCCAAAGGACUGACCCAGCAGCUCAUGUGAAACUCUGCGGAGUUCUGGACAUAAAUACAUCUGUGAACCAAAACCAGUCAGGACAAACACUCUUAAUUGAAUUAAACUUUCAUUAAGCUUGAUUAUUUUAUUUUGCUUUUGACAAAGGCCUUUGCAUUUAUUAUUACAUCUGUGGCUAAAACUGAAAUAGUUUCUAAAUUUCCCAUGGGUAGCUCAUUGUUGUUUCAUCCACCAGUGCCUGGCACAAGGGGGAAAACGGUGAGAAAAGCAAGCCAAAUCAAUUUAUCAGUAGUGCUAACUUAUCAGCCCUUUCUCAAAUCACAUGCCCCACAGUGUAACUCGAAUGACCAGUUUUUCCUUCCAUUAGCAAGUACAUUAAGGGAAAGUGAUCUCCCUGCCAGCAAGUGUCAGAUGCACCAGAUACUGUAUCCUAUCUGGACAUUAAAGUUAUAUGCAGGGCCUCCGGCUGGAUUUCGGUUUGGUUUCUAGCAACAUCAGCACAAAGGAACGACCGUGGCUAACAAACAAGUAUAAAGUACAACUUUUUAUCUCCUGAAGUAAAACAAUCUUCCCACAACCAUAAAUUAUCUACCAGUAAAGAAAUUCAGCCUUGACUCCUAGCAGCAGAAAGUAGAAGAGGCCCUUCUCCUGCAGCCGGCCUCCUCUGCUGCAGCCCUGGUCAUGGACAGCACCAGCUCUGUCCUCCCCACAUCCUGCUGGAAAGGGGCAUUCCCAGCACCAAUAGAAUUCCAGGUAACUGAGCCAAAACAUCCACUUGCAGCUCUGGGAAUGGGUCUUGCUGCAGCGACAGAUGCAUCCAGGACCUUGCUCUUAGUUAAUAAAUUCCAUUAUCACUGGAAAAAAAUCCAGCUGGUUCAAAGCACACUAAGGUCUAUGCAGAGAAGGAAGGACAGUUGUGAGCGCGCUACUCUGUCAUCUGCAGUGGCUCUAAGCCAGAUGUCAAGGCUGUUCAAAGCUGUAUUUAUAACCUGCAGCACUCCCACUUGUAGAAGCUCCAGUCGUGUCCCACUGCAACCACGGAACUACAAACAACAUUCGCUAGCAAUGGAGACCUAGGGGAAAAGCAGUUGACUGAUGUGUGAGAUGAGCCACAACAGCACGUAGUUCGUGGUAGAUAGACCAAAGAGAGCAACAGAUACAAUCUGUCUAGUCUUACAUUGGCAAACACGAACAAAAAUUUAUUACCAAACUCCACCUAACUGAAUUUACCUUUUUACAGUGUGGCCACAGAACAGCUGGUAGGUGGCAACGUAUUUGACACUACCUUCCAUCAUGGUUACUACAGCCAAGCAGUCGUUGGCAUUCCACACAGUAUAUGUUUAUACCACAUUCAAGUGAGACUUGCUAUCUGUUUGAACUAAGAGCUGCCUCCAGGGAAGGGUGGGAAUGCAGCUCAGCUCCUCUAUCGCUGGAGACAUCAAGGAUGAAAAGUUUAUAUAAUCUUUUACAAACAUAUUUUCAAGUAAAUUAUUAUUUCCUUUUGAUGUUUCUAUUUCCUGUUGAUCCUGCUGCCAAGUUCAUAUGUGACAAUGAAAACAGGAGUGCCAUGUGAGAGAACUGUGAGACUUCUGUGAGAGAAGUCAAAAGGGUGCUAUAGCAAAUCAGAACAACUGCAUUUAUAUAGCAGGUUUUAAUCAUUUGAUUAUUUCUCUACAGUCAGUCCAUAAAGGAUAGGCACUCCAUAAAGGAUAGGCACCAUUCUGGAAGACUUCAAACCUGUAACAAUAACUAUAAGCUUUAUUUUUUUUUAUACCUGCAUAACAUAAAACUAUUCACAGAUAAAAUAAUGUAACUUCAUAAUUAAAUAAUAAGUCGUAGUGUUAUCACGUACAUAUGUGUAUAUUUACGCAUACUACAAAUGUAUCAACAACACAGUCAAAAACAAAACAAAGACAUGGAGGCAUAAGCAACUGGAGGAAUAGGCUCAGAAGCUGAAUGGCAGCAUCUCUUGGAAAGAGAGCAGUGUGCUACUGGUACCAAUGGAACACCCUCUAUGUCCAGGAAGAGCCACUGCUCCCAUCUGAACAAAGGAUGCCAGCCAUGUCCCACCUGCUCUUGGCUUUCCUGAGGCCUGCGUGGCAGCCAGUGCUGCAUCUCACACUUAUCAUCAACACAACAAUCGCAACACACAGGAAACCUUUGGCCAUUUCACCACUUGAAAUGGGAGAAGGGGGUGUCACAAACAGGCAAUGGUUACACAGUUCUAAGAAUUCUCAAUUAGAACAUAAGCAUAUAAAAGAACAUUUCAAAACUCUCUCAUUACAGCUGCGCCUAUUUCAAAAUGCCAGCUCACAGGAACACAACAGCUGAAGGAUCACUGCUGGGUACUGAAGAGAAACUGUUAUGCUAUUUUGUUACUCAAAACUUAAGUCUCCUUCCUACUAAAUAAAUAAAUAAAUAAAUAAAAAUACAUGAAGUGGCUUUUGCUGUCUUUGUGGAAUAGUGAAACACUGUCUUUUGGCAGGACCAGCUGCCCCACUCAGCAGGUGAGCCUGUUGGUCCCCCCUGCUCUGUAGAGCUGUUCAGGACUUCCUCUCCUGACACUUUUUUUCCUGUUCACUCUUCUCCUUCUUAUUAUGUCCAGAGUUUUCAUUACUUUUUUU